CGCGUAACACAUGCAAGUCGAACGAGCGAGAGAGAGCUUGCUUUCUCAAGCGAGUGGCGAACGGGUGAGUAACGCGUGAGGAACCUGCCUCAAAGAGGGGGACAACAGUUGGAAACGACUGCUAAUACCGCAUAAGCCCACGACCCGGCAUCGGGUAGAGGGAAAAGGAGCAAUCCGCUUUGAGAUGGCCUCGCGUCCGAUUAGCUAGUUGGUGAGGUAACGGCCCACCAAGGCGACGAUCGGUAGCCGGACUGAGAGGUUGAACGGCCACAUUGGGACUGAGACACGGCCCAGACUCCUACGGGAGGCAGCAGUGGGGAAUAUUGCACAAUGGGGGAAACCCUGAUGCAGCGACGCCGCGUGGAGGAAGAAGGUCUUCGGAUUGUAAACUCCUGUUGUUGAGGAAGAUAAUGACGGUACUCAACAAGGAAGUGACGGCUAACUACGUGCCAGCAGCCGCGGUAAACGUAGGUCACAAGCGUUGUCCGGAAUUACUGGGUGUAAAGGGAGCGCAGGCGGGAAGACAAGUUGGAAGUGAAAUCCAUGGGCUCAACCCAUGAACUGCUUUCAAAACUGUUUUUCUUGAGUAGUGCAGAGGUAGGCGGAAUUCCCGGUGUAGCGGUGGAAUGCGUAGAUAUCGGGAGGAACACCAGUGGCGAAGGCGGCCUACUGGGCACCAACUGACGCUGAGGCUCGAAAGUGUGGGUAGCAAACAGG
rnacentral:rRNA from 1 species